GGCCCGUUCGUCUAUCGGCUAGGACGCCAGGUUUUCAUCCUGGUAAGAGGGGUUCGACUCCCCUACGGGCUACUA
rnacentral:tRNA from 1 species